rnacentral:lncRNA from 1 species
UUGACUGUUAGGUUGGUUGUUUCUGAGGAACAGGGUGGGAACAUUAUACACAAACCUGCCGAUAUUAAAAAAAAACUAUUAUACACACAAACCUAUUGCUUGCUCUUGCUCAGUUAAUUUAAUCUUUGCUCCUUGUUGAGAGUUUAUUUUAUUUUUGUCUUUUUUGUUUCGAAAGGGUGGAAGAUAAAUUUAGUAAUAGUAUUGUUAUUAUAUACCUUUCUG